UACGAAGGGGGCUAGCGUUGCUCGGAAUUACUGGGCGUAAAGGGCGCGUAGGCGGACAGUUUAGUCAGAGGUGAAAGCCCAGGGCUCAACCUUGGAAUUGCCUUUGAUACUGGCUGUCUUGAGUUCGGGAGAGGUGAGUGGAAUGCCGAGUGUAGAGGUGAAAUUCGUAGAUAUUCGGCGGAACACCAGUGGCGAAGGCGACUCACUGGCCCGAUACUGACGCUGAGGCGCGAAAGCGUGGGGAGCAACAGG
rnacentral:rRNA from 1 species